rnacentral:misc_RNA from 1 species
GCAAACUUGGUCAUUUAGAGGAAGUAAAAGUCGUAACAAGGUCUCCGUUGGUGAACCAGCGGAGGGAUCAUUACCGAGUUUACAACUCCCAAACCCCCUGUGAACUUAUACCAUUACUGUUGCUUCGGCGGGUUAUUGCCCCGGGGAAGGACAGGCUGCCGCAAGGUGCCCUGCCGCCCCCCCGGAAACAGGCGCCCGCCGGGGGACUUAAACUCUAUAUUUUUUUCUUGUUUUAGUGUAUACUGUCUGAGUAAAAAAACAUAAUGAAUCAAAACUUUCAACAACGGAUCUCUUGGUUCUGGCAUCGAUGAAGAACGCAGC